AGGAACACGUGGGUGACCUACCUUUCAGUGAGGAAUACCGGCGAGAAAUCGCCGACAAUACCGCAUAGGCUUCUCUUCCUCAACAGGAGAAGCAAAGCUCUCUUCGGAGGGCGCUGGGAGAUGGGCCCGCGGCCGAUUAGUUAGUUGGUGGGGUAAAAGCCUACCAAGGCCACGAUCGGUAGCUGGUCUGAGAGGACGAUCAGCCACACUGGGAUUGAGAACGGCCCAG
rnacentral:rRNA from 1 species